CGCCCUUAGAGUUUGAUCAUGGCUCAGAACGAACGCUGGCGGCGUGGAUAAGACAUGCAAGUCGAACGAGAAACUUUUGGAGCUUGCUUUGGAAGUUUCUAGUGGCGAACGGGUGAGUAACACGUGAGCAACCUGCCCAGAAGAGGGGGAUAGCCCGGGGAAACUCGGAUUAAUACCGCGUAUGGUCCCUCAGGACAUCCUGAGACGAUUAAAGGUGGCCUUUGUGCUGCCGCUUCUGGAUGGGCUCGCGGCCUAUCAGCUUGUUGGUGAGGUAACGGCUCACCAAGGCGACGACGGGUAACUGAUCUGAGAGGAUGAUCAGUCACACUGGAACUGAGACACGGUCCAGACACCUACGGGUGGCAGCAGUCGAGAAUCAUUCGCAAUGGGCGAAAGCCUGACGGUGCGACGCCGCGUGGAGGAUGACGGCCCUAGGGUUGUAAACUCCUGUCAUCAGAGAGUAAUGUCUCAAGCAGUAACUGGCUUGGGGAGUGAUAGUAUCUGAAGAGGAAGGGACGGCUAACUUCGUGCCAGCAGCCGCGGUAAUACGAAGGUCCCAAGCGUUGUUCGGAUUUACUGGGCGUAAAGCGUCUGUAGGCGGCGCGGUAAGUCAGAUGUGAAAUCCCGGGGCUCAACCCCGGAACUGCAUCCGAUACUGCCGUGCUUGAGGGUCGGAGGGGAGUCUGGAAUUCUCGGUGUAGCAGUGAAAUGCGUAGAUAUCGAGAGGAACACUAGUGGCGAAGGCGAGACUCUGGACGACACCUGACGCUGAGAGACGAAGGCCAGGGU
rnacentral:rRNA from 1 species